rnacentral:lncRNA from 1 species
CAAAGUUUUCCUAAAAGUCCACGUGCAAGCCAUCCACGUGUCAAGUCUUACACCUCAUCUCCCCAUGUCCAAGAUGUCUUCCACGCAUCUCCCAUCUUCCACGUCAUCUGCCCAUCCGAAUAACUCCUUCAUAUUUCGAUCAUCUCCCCUGUUCCCAACUAAAUCAAGUUCAUCCUCCCGUGAUCCACUCAUUCCCCAGCCGAGUCCCAAGCAAUCCUCACAUAUCGUUCAACUAAAAUUCUGCCCAGCAACAAUAUUCAUCCUCAUCUCCCGUUCGCGAUUCAAGGAUAUUUCCCAUUCACGAAUGCAUCUCAGCCGG